CUUUGAAGAGCUGCUUGAAAACUGGACAAAGACUUUGUUGUAGCAUCUGCUUACCACAGUAAACAUCUCCAACAAUGAACUAUAACUGGGGUAUGACUCCGAAUAACCAAAUGGUACCUUUUGGGUUUGGAAGACCUAUCUAUAAUGAUGAUUCGGAUGAUGAUGAUGAUGAACCUUCAAAUGCAAUGACUCUUGCACAGAUGUGAACAGAUAUGAGCCUUCCAUCAAACUUCUUCAAGGGUGGUGCACCUUCUCUUCCAAGAAAUGGUGAAGUGACUCGCUAUUAUCCUAAUUCAGGAAACGGUCCUCGCAGGCAAAAAAUUGUCCUAAAGAAUGGCCAAAUUGUCUUUGCUGAAGAAACAAAAUACGGCUCUUCAAGCUUUAAUGCACAACACCAAUUCAUUCAGAAAUAUAAAUGAAUUAUUGCUUAAUCUCUAUGCUUAUUCAAAAUGUUGUUUUUUUUUACUCUACUUGCUAUUGGCUUUAAAUUAACCAAUUACUAGCAUAGUUACCAUAAUCGCAUUUAAAGAUCUGUACUUUCGCCCAUCUCUACAGAAUCAUCAGUUGAAAGUAUGAAAUUAAAAUCUAUAAUUAUGUAUAAGAUUCACAUUUGUGCAGUUUCAGUUUCAGUUAAGUCAUUAACUGAAAUUAAUCAAGUACUUGUUGGGUUGCUUUUUGUCCUCAAAGAUUUAAUCAAUAAAAAUAAA